CGGGAACAGCUCAACUUUAAAAUCUGGCCCUUUCAGGGUCCGAGUUGUAGUCUCGAGAAGCCACGUCCGCGCCGGACCUUGGACAAGUCGGUUGGAAUACCGCGUCAACGAGGGUGACAAUCCCGUUUAUGCCAAGGACGCCCGUGUGCAUUGUGAUGGGCUUUCAAA
rnacentral:rRNA from 1 species